rnacentral:rRNA from 1 species
UUAAGCGACUAAGCGUACACGGUGGAUGCCCUGGCAGUCAGAGGCGAUGAAGGACGUGCUAAUCUGCGAAAAGCGUCGGUAAGGUGAUAUGAACCGUUACAGCCGGCGAUGUCCGAAUGGGGAAACCCAGUGCAAUUCGUUGCACUAUCGUUUGAUGAAUACAUAGUCAAACGAGGCGAACCGGGGGAACUGAAACAUCUAAGUACCCCGAGGAAAAGAAAUCAACCGAGAUUCCCCCAGUAGCGGCGAGCGAACGGGGAGCAGCCCGGAGUCUGAAUCAGCUUGUGUGUUAGUGGAAGCGUCUGGAAAGUCGCAGGGUACAGGGUGAUACUCCCGUACACUAAAACACACAGGUUGUGAACUCGAAGAGUAGGGCGGGACACGUGGUAUCCUGUCUGAAUAUGGGGGGACCAUCCUCCAAGGCUAAAUACUCCUGACUGACCGAUAGUGAACCAGUACCGUGAGGGAAAGGCGAAAAGAACCCCGGCGAGGGGAGUGAAAAAGAACCUGAAACCGUGUACGUACAAGCAGUAGGAGCCCACUAGUUGGGUGACUGCGUACCUUUUGUAUAAUGGGUCAGCGACUUAUAUUCUGUAGCAAGGUUAACCGUAUAGGGGAGCCGCAGGGAAACCGAGUCUUAACUGGGCGUUAAGUUGCAGGGUAUAGACCCGAAACCCGGUGAUCUAGCCAUGGGCAGGUUGAAGGUUGGGUAACACUAACUGGAGGACCGAACCGACUAAUGUUGAAAAAUUAGCGGAUGACUUGUGGCUGGGGGUGAAAGGCCAAUCAAACCGGGAGAUAGCUGGUUCUCCCCGAAAGCUAUUUAGGUAGCGCCUCGUGAAUUCAUCUUCGGGGGUAGAGCACUGUUUCGGCUAGGGGGUCAUCCCGACUUACCAACCCGAUGCAAACUACGAAUACCGAAGAAUGUUAUCACGGGAGACACACGGCGGGUGCUAACGUCCGUCGUGAAGAGGGAAACAACCCAGACCGCCAGCUAAGGUCCCAAAGUCAUGGUUAAGUGGGAAACGAUGUGGGAAGGCCCAGACAGCCAGGAUGUUGGCUUAGAAGCAGCCAUCAUUUAAAGAAAGCGUAAUAGCUCACUGGUCGAGUCGGCCUGCGCGGAAGAUGUAACGGGGCUAAACCAUGCACCGAAGCUGCGGCAGCGACACUAUGUGUUGUUGGGUAGGGGAGCGUUCUGUAAGCCGUUGAAGGUGGCCUGUGAGGGUUGCUGGAGGUAUCAGAAGUGCGAAUGCUGACAUAAGUAACGAUAAUGCGGGUGAAAAACCCGCACGCCGGAAGACCAAGGGUUCCUGUCCAACGUUAAUCGGGGCAGGGUGAGUCGACCCCUAAGGCGAGGCCGAAAGGCGUAGUCGAUGGGAAACAGGUUAAUAUUCCUGUACUUGGUGUUACUGCGAAGGGGGGACGGAGAAGGCUAUGUUGGCCGGGCGACGGUUGUCCCGGUUUAAGCAUGUAGGCGGAUGUUCCAGGUAAAUCCGGAGCGUCACUAACGCUGAGGUGUGAUGACGAGGCACUACGGUGCUGAAGUGACAAAUGCCCUGCUUCCAGGAAAAGCCUCUAAGCAUCAGGUAACAUCAAAUCGUACCCCAAACCGACACAGGUGGUCAGGUAGAGAAUACCAAGGCGCUUGAGAGAACUCGGGUGAAGGAACUAGGCAAAAUGGUGCCGUAACUUCGGGAGAAGGCACGCUGAUGGUAGGUGAAGUGACUUGCUCAUGGAGCUGAAAUCAGUCGAAGAUACCAGCUGGCUGCAACUGUUUAUUAAAAACACAGCACUGUGCAAACACGAAAGUGGACGUAUACGGUGUGACGCCUGCCCGGUGCCGGAAGGUUAAUUGAUGGGGUUAUCCUCGCGGAGAAGCUCUUGAUCGAAGCCCCGGUAAACGGCGGCCGUAACUAUAACGGUCCUAAGGUAGCGAAAUUCCUUGUCGGGUAAGUUCCGACCUGCACGAAUGGCGUAAUGAUGGCCAGGCUGUCUCCACCCGAGACUCAGUGAAAUUGAACUCGCUGUGAAGAUGCAGUGUACCCGCGGCAAGACGGAAAGACCCCGUGAACCUUUACUAUAGCUUGACACUGAACACUGGUCCUUGAUGUGUAGGAUAGGUGGGAGGCUUUGAAGUGUGGACGCCAGUCUGCAUGGAGCCAUCCUUGAAAUACCACCCUUUAAUGGCUGGUGUUCUAACGUGGGCCCGUGAUCCGGGUUGCGGACAGUGUCUGGUGGGUAGUUUGACUGGGGCGGUCUCCUCCUAAAGAGUAACGGAGGAGCACGAAGGUCAGCUAAUCCUGGUCGGACAUCAGGAGGUUAGUGCAAUGGCAUAAGCUGGCUUGACUGCGAGCGUGACGGCGCGAGCAGGUGCGAAAGCAGGUCAUAGUGAUCCGGUGGUUCUGAAUGGAAGGGCCAUCGCUCAACGGAUAAAAGGUACUCCGGGGAUAACAGGCUGAUACCGCCCAAGAGUUCAUAUCGACGGCGGUGUUUGGCACCUCGAUGUCGGCUCAUCACAUCCUGGGGCUGAAGUAGGUCCCAAGGGUAUGGCUGUUCGCCAUUUAAAGUGGUACGCGAGCUGGGUUUAGAACGUCGUGAGACAGUUCGGUCCCUAUCUGCCGUGGGCGCUGGAGAAUUGAGGGGGGCUGCUCCUAGUACGAGAGGACCGGAGUGGACGCAUCACUGGUGUUCGGGUUGUCAUGCCAAUGGCAUUGCCCGGUAGCUAAAUGCGGAAGAGAUAAGUGCUGAAAGCAUCUAAGCACGAAACUUGCCCCGAGAUGAGUUCUCCCUGACUCCUUGAGAGUCCUGAAGGAACGUUGAAGACGACGACGUUGAUAGGCCGGGUGUGUAAGCGCAGCGAUGCGUUGAGCUAACCGGUACUAAUGAACCGUGAGGCUUAACCUU